AAGAAGAGAGAAAUGUGUCUGCAGAGCUUGGGAGCAGGGAAGGGAGAAUACAAAUGUGUAAUAAGGACAGUGGGAUCCCUGCUGGACCCCUCAUGUGAGGGGUGCUGGGUGCUUGGGACCCGUGUCCCUGCCCGAGGGCUCGAGCUCAGCCAGCCCUGCCCACAGCAGCUGAGCCUGCCCCAGCCACCCCCCGCCUAAACCCUGCAUUCAUUCUUCAGCUGCUGGCUUCUCACUGAACAGGACUGGGAAUUCCCAGCCUGUGAGGGAGCUGGAAUCUCCCCGGGUGUUCUCGGCAGGAGGAGGGGUGCUGCCAGCAGUCACAUCUUCAGCAGGAGGGGGAAGCGCAGCAGGCGUUCCCAGCCACAAGUACCACAAGCACAGGUCACAUCCUCUCCAACAACCUCUGUAUGGACCAGCUCUGCUUCGAACAGGCACACAGGAUGCACUGAGCCCCUGAAGGAGCUGCCCUCAGCACUCCUUUCCCUGUUAUCAUGCCCGUCCACCAGCUCAACCAUGAAAUGUGCAGGCCAGAGGCACUGUGAGCUCUGCUGUGCUCCUAACCGCAGUGCGCACGGCUGUCCUCCCUCCUUUUUGGUGAGUGGAACUGCAUUAACUCUGCACUGGGCAGUUUGCCUCUAGCCCUAAAGCACUGCUUCCGUGGGGUAAAGCUCUCAGGGUGUAAAUCCAGCUAGGCACCAGCAUGGGCAGAGCUGCAGCACCUCGCCCCGCGCCCAGGCAGCCCAGCCGCAGCCCUUCGGAUCCAGCCACCAUCUGCCUGCUGAGUGCUCCGAGUGAACCGCCAACGUGGCAGCAGCCCAGAAAAUUAAAAUAAUGGCUUGUUACAAAACCAAUUACUGCCUAUUGUAUCGUAACCACUCCGGGGGUGCUGUGCCAGCGCGAAGAUUCCCUGCGUGCCGGGGGAGGAACCGCGGCGGCGCUGCCCGUGCUACUGGGACGCUGCGCAGCAGGUCCCUGCCCUGCAGUCGUGCAUCCCCCAUGCAUGUCGGGGAGAGGCCACAGGACCUCGUGUGGAAGCUGUCUCGGCAGUAACUUCUUGCUCAGUACUUUUUUUUUCCCUAGAAAUACACAGCUUUAAUGCACAGACAACCAACUGCUUGAUGCAGCGCGGGGCCUUCUAGGGAGGGUUUCCCAGCCUGUUGAGGAGCCCAUGCUUGCCAUUGCAUAACAGAAUUACAGCUAAUUAUGCAAGACCUCAGAGUUUGAUUAUGUCUAGCAAGUGCAAUGCUGAACGGGGUUUCUCCUGACCAUGACUCAAUUCUUCACUUGCAGUGGUAGCAGCAGCUCGGCCAGGGCCGGCAGCAGGGGAGGAUGCUGGGCAGCAGCUGGGGCUCACCCCCGGAGUGGUGUGUUCAUAAAAAAUGGGCUGUAAGCACCAAAACACUCACUGUGCAGACACAACAGGGGUUGUCUGAUCACCAGCAAGGGACAAACUCCUCUUACAAGAGCAGUGAUUGUCCCCACACGGUGCAUCCCCAUCUCACCCUGGUGCAUGGCUGGCAUGGGAAGGGGUUACCUGCUGCCCCCUGCCCUCCCCGCUCAGGUGCGCUGAGUUGUGAGGGCAGAGCCUACAAAAGGCACUGGGGCAGCACCCUAAUUCCAAGGGGGUUAGCAACAUGUGUGAGAGCUGGGGAUGGAGCACAAGAAGAAGCAAGGGAAUGCUGCAUCGUGAGCCCAAACCUCCCCAGGGCAGCGGGGGAAGCAUCUCUGCUAGUGCUGGAGGAAGACGGAGAGCACGGGGGGCUCCGAGCCCUUAAAGCUAACUCUGACUACACAGUGACUCCGGGGUCAGAUCAGCUCCCUGUGCACCACCAGGGACUGUGCCGAGAUGCAGAACUCAGCCCCCCUGCAGCACCACGGAUCCCCUCUCUGCAUGGAAGAGAAGCUUGAGCCCACGUAACCUGCUCUCAGGGGUGCACUCAGGAUUCAGCACUCCCAUUUUGAGGAGACAACAUGGCAAAACAAGGGUUAUUUGGAGGGGGCUCUUCCUUGCCAGGUGUUAAAAUACUGACAACUCCUGUCAAAGGAUCCUUUCAUGUAGACAUUCCCGGGCAGCCCUCAACAUGCCUGGGAAAUAAAACUGCUCUGGAGGAGCAGAGGUGCAUUAUGGCAAGCUCUUUGGUAACAAAUUCUCUCAUUAUACCAUGUUAUGACAUGGAUAAAUCUCUGUUAAAUAGCACAGCGAUUGCCCCGCAGGGAGAAAGGCUGCCGCUCAACACAGGCAUGCCUCCGCUGAUAACCUUAUCGUGUCUUAACAGCUCCAGGAUUGCCUUCAAAGAUCCUUCAACAAUAACAAACCCUUCUUUUAAGGAACUCCGUGCCGAUAACUCUGGGCAAGAAGGAUCAGGGCUGCGUCCCAUGAGCCUGUGCCCACAGCGCGGGCUGAGCACAGCAGCACGUGGGCCCCCUGCACGCCCUGCAGCUGCUGGAGCAAAGCGCUCCCCAUCCUGCAGCCACAGCUUGUGCAUGGCCACCACGGGAACAAGCACCUCAUUUCACUAUGUGUUUACAACCCAGAGACUCCACAUCCCCAGAGUAUGCUUCCAGCCUUAUUUUCCAUCCCCAGCUGUAUUUUCAGCCAAGAAGAGCGAUGUGUGCUCUCUCUAAGGGACAGCAAAAUGCAUGUCCUGUUCAGGCUCCAAGCAGAGAGGCAAACAGGUGCCUCUGCUCCUCUCUGGUAAUCUGUAGUUGCUGAUCUAUCACCAAUAAUGCAGCACAGGUGAUUUAUGUGCAGGCUGGUGCUAUGCAAUGGCUUUGAGUUGCUGGUGCUUUAUGAGCUGCAGCUGAAGUGCAUGCACCUGGCUUGCAGAGAGCACAGAGAGGUGCUGAGCCUUCCUCAAGCACAAAACAGGGCAGCUGCAAAGCGAAAUGCAGAACCUGGGAGACCGAAAUACCAGCACUUAUCGCAUGGACUGGUGCUGUCACCUCAAUGCUUCAGUAUUCUUUCUGCCACGGCCACUUCUCUGCCACCUGGGCUAAGGGCAAGCCUCUGGCUGCUCACUCAUGUCCUGCCUGUUUGUGCACGGCUUUGCAAGCUGGCAGCAGCCGCGACUUCUGCUCUCAGCCAUGCGUAAAAAGCUCCCGUCGCUGUCCCAGGCCAGGCUGCACCCCCAGGAGCAGAGGUUCGUGCGCUGGCGGGGGAGUGUGCUGCGGAAACUCCUUGGCCCCCGGCCAGAGGAGCUGUCCCUGGUAUGUGGGAAGCGAGCGCAGCCGGGGCUGUGUCUGCACAGCGGUGUCGGAGCCUCGGCCGGGAGCAGCUCCCUGGGACACCCGGGUGCAGUCCCCAGCACCACCAGCACUGCUGCAGCAAGGCUGAAAGGUGUCAGCCCUUUGAGUUCUUCCACACCUACACAAGUUUGAGUCUGUUCUGCCUUUGGGCGCCUCAUUCCUGUGCCUCCCGUUCCCGGUCUGUGCGUUGGACCAUCGGUUUUGUUCUUCCAGCUCUCGUUGUGCCAUCUCUGCACGUUGGGCUGCCUGUUACCGUACAUCUGCGGAGCACAACAGGUUCACCUUGGUGUGGCUGGAGGCUGACAGCACGGUGCAAACAGGAGCAGCCUGCCCUACGCUUCCAUAAACCUGCAGAACGUACGUGCCCCUUUUCUCCCUACAGUCACGGGGCUCUUAAUGUCAUCAUACCCUGGUUUGCUGCAGCGAAAAUACAACGGCACCUUUAGCUGCUCCUUCCCUGCCACUGUAAAGUCUUGUAGUGCAAGUCCAGAGCAGUAAGAAUAAAUGGAAAAGCACAAUCAUUAAAUGCUAGCCAUUUAUCAGCAUGAGCCUCUGUUUUUCAAGGGACUUGCUAUCCCAAAGGGUCCCUGGAUGGGACUUGUUUCACCUUUGCGUUUGAAACACGGCUACUUGGGUGAGACUGAGACCCUGCUGUAUCCACGCUGAACACAACGGGCACAAACACGCCGGAGUGAUGAAGCUCCAUGGUGUAAUCGACCCCUGUGGAGACCCCUCGGUUCCUCCCAGCAUAUCCCUUCCAGCAGUUAUCUCAGUGUCAUUGCUGCUGCAUCCAAGGAAAUGGUUUGUGCACUGCAGGGUUCAAGGGACCUCAUGCCCUAGAGAAAUUCAGGGAGAUUAAUGCGGUGGCUGCUGUGAAACAGCACUGAAUUAAGCCUUCAGAUUCCUGUCCGUUCAGCCCCUGCAGACAUCCCAGACCUGCUCUGGAAGAGGCCAGUGCCCUGCUUGGACCUGCAGCCACCAUGCAGGAUGCAGGAGGUGGCAGAGGUGUGUUUCCCCGUAUAUGCUGAGAGCCUCGCUCAAGAAAUAGCCUGAACCUUCUGCGUGGAGAGACCUAGCAGAGAAGUCCAUCUGCUGCACUCCUCCCAGGGCAGCAGAACCGCUAGGAGGAUGUGUCCCAACAGAUUCGGAGCUGAUAAAAUCUUAUUUAUCUUCAACUGUUGACACCGAAGCGUCUAGACUUGCCUGCUUCGGGAGGGCUGCAGCCAAGUCCUCCUUUCUCUCUUGAAGGAAAUGAUUUGCUCAACAAUUACUUUUUCCACAAAUCCUCCCCCCUCCUCCCUACCAGCCUUCUCCUCCUCCUCCUUUACAUUCCAGUCUCCUCAUUAG